UAGUCCACGCCGUAAACGAUGGAUACUAGCUGUCCGGGUCCUUGAGAUCUGGGCGGCCAAGCGAAAGUGAUAAGUAUCCCACCUGGGGAGUACGUUCGCAAGAAUGAAACUCAAAGGAAUUGACGGGGGCCCGCACAGGCGGUGGAGCAUGUGGUUUAAUUCGAUGAUACGCGAGGAGCCUUACCAGGGCUUAAAUGCAUAUUGACAGGUUUAGAGAUAGACUUUCCUUCGGGCAAUUUGCAAGGUGCUGCAUGGUUGUCGUCAGCUCGUGCCGUGAGGUGUCAGGUUAAGUCCUAUAACGAGCGCAACCCCUGCCGUUAGUUGCCAGCAUUUAAAGAUGGGGACUCUAACGGGACUGCCGGUGCAAACCGCGAGGAAGGUGGGGAUGACGUCAAAUCAUCACGGGCCCUUACGUCCUGGGGCCACACACGUGCUACAAUGGGCCGGUACAGAGAGCAGCCAUGUCGCAAGGGCA
rnacentral:rRNA from 1 species